rnacentral:lncRNA from 1 species
UUUUCAGUUUAUUCGUAAUUAUUUAAUCUUGAGCACGGUGCAACUAUAGGUAGGCGUGUCAUGCCUAGCCCAAUGCCUUAGACCUUCUCGACAAUUAGGCCUAUUUAUGUGCACUAAAUUCUAGGGUUUGGUCAUUAUCAUCUGCCUCCACUCCAUAGAGAAUAUCUCUCAAAACCCUAGCCCCCUUUCUCUUCUUCUUGUUGAUUUUGGAGCUUUUAUGCAUUAUUCCUACAUGUUUGGUGUUCUUUAGUGGUGCAAACAAGAAACUUUUACCUUUGGAGCUUUGCAACUAAAUUGUUCAACCUUCUUUCAGCUUUUGGACUUUGGUAAGUCAUAAAGAUCUUUGUUUUGUGUUGUGUCCGCUUUGGAUCUAUAAGUUAACUGGGUAGUUGGAGUUUUGGUCCUUUGGAGUUCGAAGCAACUCUAGAGGUUUUUGAUGAUGAUAUUAUGCAUGUCUAGCCUUUAGUUGGGAAUUUGGUGCAUGAUAGGGCUUUUCAAGCCUCAUGCAAGUGAUAAGUGCAUUUACGGGGAUUUUGGUGAAUUAGGGUUUGAGAUCUUGGUUGUUUGGAUCACCCAGAUGGAUAAAGUUGGAAACUUUAUCCAUUAAGACAUCUUAGAGAUUCAGAUCUAAGAGUUGUGGCCCAUGACUUUGUGGUUUAAGGUUUUAAACCUUGUUUGGGAAAUUAACUAUUUGAGAAGCAUGGCGCGCUUCUAUAGGAUGUGGCCCACUUCUAGAUAAAUUGUCCUGAAUUCGACUAUUUUGUCCUGUAGUGAAGCAUGAGGUGUUUGCAGAUGCACCACACGCUUUUGUAGGGCACGAUGCACCUGGUCAAAGUUAAAGUUUGACUUAGGCUAUUGACCGUUGACUUUUGACUAGUUUGACUUUUGGUUAAAUUUUAGGGAAAUUGAGUGUUUGUCUAAGGACUGGUCUAGGUUAUCAUUAGGUGGCUUGUGUUAGUUGUUUCUGUGUCGGGGUUGUUGGUGAGCUUCUAUUGUUUAGUUGAUGUGAGUUUUCUCACUAUAUUAUAUAUUACAGUAUGUGUCCUAGUGUGUUAGGAUGUGGUUAGACUGUAGAAUGUUGUUAGGUAGGUAGACUUGUAAACUGUUAUCUAUUACACUAAGUUGUCUAUUUAUCUAUAUGAUGUAUAUGUUGACAUAUUUUAUGGUGGGCUGAGGCAUUCCAGCUUUGUGCGGAAGGCAAAGAUGUGGGCAGACCAACUUUAUGUUGAAGGCCAAUCGGUGUGUUGAUGACAAGAUCAAUAUCAAGUCUUGUGAGUCUAGACAUUCACAAGGGGUGAAUUGAUGGAAAGAUCAACUAAAGUGUUAUGAUCCUAGAUACUCGAUGUUGUACGAGCAGAUUGGUUGUAUCCCCAAGAGCUUUCUUUGUAUGCAUGUAUGUUUAUUGAUAUUUUGUGGAACUUACUAAGCAUUAUGCUUAUAGUUGUGUAUUAAAUAUUUUUAGGUAUUUUGGGGAACUCACUAAGCUUUAUGCUUAUAGUUGUGGAUUAAAUAUUUUUCUGGUAAUUA